UACGUAGGGUGCAAGCGUUGUCCGGAAUUAUUGGGCGUAAAGAGCUCGUAGGCGGUUUGUCGCGUCUGCUGUGAAAACUCGGGGCUUAACUCCGGGCCUGCAGUGGGUACGGGCAGACUAGAGUGCGGUAGGGGAGACUGGAAUUCCUGGUGUAGCGGUGAAAUGCGUAGAUAUCUGGAGGAACACCGGUGGCGAAGGCGGCAUCCUGGACCAAUUCUGACGCUGAGUGAGCGAAAGCCAGGGGAGCAAACGGG
rnacentral:rRNA from 1 species